UGGCACAGCGUGUCGAGCCAGCCGACCUGAGAAAGCUUCAUUGCGUUACCAGACGUUCAACGGGUUACCUCCCUUGCGGGUUUUUUCACGAAACUAGUAAUACGGUACGCGCUAAGAGAACCGUCCGUCUGGUUCACACGGUCACCUGGGCCGUGCCUUCUCAGCUACACGGGACACGCCACGUUUCAGUUCGAACGGGAACCGAUAUAAACAAUAUAAGAAAAUAAAGAAAUACAUAUAUAAGAAAUAUAUAAGAAUGGACACGAAUCAAACACCACUGUCACCGCCUGCCUCGCCCCAAUUCAAGCAUGUGGAGCCGUUGCAGUCCUCGUUCAGCGUCGCGGCGCUCCUGGGGGACAAGCUGUCGCAGAAAACGAAUAACGCCGGAAUAAACAUGAAAAAGGACGACGACGCAACCUCGCGGCCUGGUUUGCCUCCCACGCCCCAGCCGUCGGAUUCGGAGGAGGACGAGCCUCUACGGAAACGGCGGUGCACGGAGCAAUGCGAAUUGGUGAAGCUAUUGCUCGAUGGUACACCACCGCCGAGUCCAGAACCUGCUCGAGUGUCGGUCAUAAUGCGUGCGAAUCGGGAUGGUACCUACAGUCCUGCCAACUUAACGCCAAAGACAACCGUGACGUCCUCGCAACUGGUCCCACGUGAAAUACAGGCUUCCAUCCCGCAGUCGGAUCUAGCCGCGCGCCAGAGUACCGCGGAGCCGGAGAAUGUUCUGAAGAGUCUGAAGUUUAAAAUGAGCCUGCGGAAAGAGGAGAUCAUCGUGAACAAUAAGAACACGGACCGAGAAACCGUUCAGCCGAAAUUACACCUCUUGGCACCGAAACCAGCACCGAUCAUGGUAACCGGGCUCCUGGGAUCCCCCUUAGUCCUCCCGCGGGCACCGCUUCUAUUGGUCACCGCAUCAACGACCACGGCAACGGCAAACAUCUCGACCCCGGAAUCAGUCGCGCGACGUCGCGUCUACGAAUGUGAGCAUCCGGGCUGCGGGAAGAAUUAUUUCAAAUCGUCCCAUCUGAAAGCCCACACGAGAACGCACACCGGCGAACGGCCGUUCUCGUGUCCCUACGAAGACUGCAACAGACGGUUCUCAAGAAGCGACGAACUGUCGCGGCACAAGCGGACCCAUACGGGCGAGAAGAAAUUCGCCUGCACCGUAUGCCAGAGAAGAUUCAUGAGGAGCGAUCAUCUGGCGAAACACGUGAAACGUCAUGCCAGAGACAGGUCGUCGACGGGAGCGAACGGCGUUCAAACGUCCGUCGCGCAGAUGACGUCCGGACCGUUGCGGGUCAGCCUGCUGCCUGUCCUCGCGCCGCGAAUCACGCAGCCAGCCCAGCACAUCAUACCGCCGCAACUGGCAGCUUAAAAAAUACGGAUCCGGCGACGUGAAGUCGCCGAGGAUGGUUGGACCUAACCAAAAGCUGUGGACGAAGCUUUAGCUACCGCACGAUUGAGAACCAUUCCAAAAUCUCUGGAUAGAUAGAACCGGAGGAUAAAUUCGGAGGAACGACGGUAGAUGUCCUCUCGAGAAUUUCGGGAUGCCGUUCGAGGAGUUCCCACGAGUUCUCGAUCUUGUAUGCACAUGUCGGGACAAAGUUUGUUGGGAGGAGCAGUACGUUCGAAGUUCGAACUUUGAACUGCCGCGGAUUCGCAUGGAGAGUGAACCUCCGCUCGCCUCUUUAACGUGUGUAAUCGUGAACCGAAUGGAAAAUGUUAAUACGAGGCGUACUUAUGACAAGGAGACCUAAAGGCACGAGGAGCGGUGAUGAUAAGUCAUGAGAACGAGGCUUCUUUGCCGUCCGUGAACCAAGUACCUAAGUGUGUCUGUGAUCUGUGAUGCAUAAGCGCGUUGACCGAGAAAAAGAGUAUUUAUUUAAGACAGUCUUUAUGAAUGAUGUAUAUAACGGCUAUGCGAAAGAAACACGCUGAAAUUAUGCUGUAUUCAUUAAUGCCGACUUGUUUGUCAUGUAAUUAUGAGUCACAUAUGUAUAUUUGCAUAACCGUACCCAAAGGCGAGACUGUAACAGACAUCGUAAGAUCUCGAGAAUUUUUUCGCGCGCGUUGAAGAGUUUCAGAGCAAUACGGAAGGUCAUGUCUCGAGAUGACCGAAGACAAGAAAAGAAAAACGACUUCUAUUUACGAAGAACUCGGCACCACACGUCGAUUGAACGAUAGUGAACCAUUCGUGCGUGACGUACCGUCUGCGGCGGUUUAGAUAAACAUGGUAAAAGACACUUAAAGAGUAAACACGUGUAGACGUUGUACGGUAUCGCGUUUCAGAUAUUUCACAUUUUCAAAUCCUCAAUGGUACAGGCGUUAACCAAUGAAAAACAAAUAAUUCGCAGUUGAAUAGAUCCACGCAGAAGCAACAAUGCAACAAGCGUAUUGCACUUCUAUGCUCACGAAGAACCGCAUCGUACCGAUCGUGUAAGUUACGAUAGAAUUCAAUUGAAACGAUAUUCACGUUGGUACACAAAUCUUGUAUAACCCCAACAGUUUAGCCAAUCACGCAUUUCAAGAAUACAUGUACAAUGUUAAUCAGGGUUUAAUCACUGAAUUGUCGGCGUAGAAUCGAAUUCUUGGAAUCAAAGAUCCGAGUGGAGCAAGGUAGGCAAAUGUUCUAUCGGAGCAAAAAGUUUCCAUCACGCAUCGUAUGCGAAGAGCUGCGCCGAGUCGAGUGCGUGGAUGUAAUCUCCGUUCUUUUGAUUAAGAUCCACAAAGAUAUUUUUUACUGAAGAUGGACGAAUUUUUUCGUUGAAAUGAUUUUUCUUAUCUCCGUAAUAUAUCCACGAUAAACAAUUUUAAAUCAUGUACCGCAAAGUUGUAUGUACGAAUACCAUCUUACGUAACGUUGACACAUCGAUAUUGUUUCGCGUGAAAGCGUUUUAGGUACGAAAAUUGUCGAAUUAUUUGUCGCGAAGUAUUUCAUUUUCAAGGUAGCGUUUCGUCCUCCGCGUUUAUCGUUACUAUAAAUACGAUUGGUCGCUUCGGAUUAAGAGAGAAUACGUUAAUCGCGUUGGACGUGUUAUCGUUGGGAGAUUCGUUGACCUAAACAGGUAAAAGGGGCGUUGGCUGGGUUGA